rnacentral:tRNA from 1 species
GAAAGUAUAGCUGAAAUGGUAGAGCACAUACUUAGUAUGCACAAAGUCCUGGGUUCAAUCCCCAGUACCUCCG